rnacentral:rRNA from 1 species
UGGAUCCAGACUUUGAUCCUGGCUCAGGACGAACGCUGGCGGCGUGCCUAACACAUGCAAGUCGAACGAAGCUUGACGAAUGAUUUCUUCGGAACGAAUUUUGAUAUGACUGAGUGGCGGACGGGUGAGUAACGCGUGAGCAACCUGCCCUUCAGAGGGGGAUAGCGUUUGGAAACGAACGGUAAUACCGCAUAAAGUAUUUUAACCGCAUGAUUGAAAUACCAAAACUACGGUGCUGAAGGAUGGGCUCGCGUUGGAUUAGAUAGUUGGUGGGGUAACGGCCUACCAAGUCGACGAUCCAUAGCCGGACUGAGAGGUUGAACGGCCACAUUGGGACUGAGACACGGCCCAGACUCCUACGGGAGGCAGCAGUGGGGAAUAUUGCACAAUGGGGGAAACCCUGAUGCAGCAACGCCGCGUGAAGGAAGACGGUUUUCGGAUCGUAAACUUCUGUUCUUAGUGAAGAAUAAUGACGGUAGCUAAGGAGCAAGCCACGGCUAACUACGUGCCAGCAGCCGCGGUAAUACGUAGGUGGCAAGCGUUGUCCGGAAUUACUGGGUGUAAAGGGAGCGCAGGCGGGAAGCCAAGUCAGCUGUGAAAACUACGGGCUUAACUUGUAGACUGCAGUUGAAACUGGUUUUCUUGAGUGAAGUAGAGGUUGGCGGAAUUCCGAGUGUAGCGGUGAAAUGCGUAGAUAUUCGGAGGAACACCGGUGGCGAAGGCGGCCAACUGGGCUUUAACUGACGCUGAGGCUCGAAAGUGUGGGGAGCAAACAGGAUUAGAUACCCUGGUAGUCCACACUGUAAACGAUGAUAACUAGGUGUGGGGGGUCUGACCCCUUCCGUGCCGCAGCUAACGCAAUAAGUUAUCCACCUGGGGAGUACGACCGCAAGGUUGCAACUCAAAU